CAUUUUCAGAAAGAGAGAUGGAAAUGCACUGGAACUGGCAGAACAAAGAGAGCAAGUAAAGAGUGGAGCUGAGAAAACAUCUUAAUGGAAAUCCUUUACAUGCAUACUGGGAAGUGGAAAUGCUGCUGUGAAAAUGUCAACAAUCCCAAUUGCACGUGUCAUUUUCCUUUGUGUCUUUGAAUAAUGUAGCUUAUUUUGAAUAAUGUCCUAUGUCUAUAGAAAAGUAGAUGUCUUGGCUGCAGAAGAUGUAAGACAGAUUUAUCUGUGCCUCAACUGACUUUUUGAGGAAAGAAGUCUGAAGAACUUACACAAGUAGUGAUGACAAGACAUGAAACAUCAGAUAGGCCUUUGGUCAGAUCCAGUAGGACUCUUAUGUUCUUAUGUGUAAGACCA